UACGAAGGGGGCGAGCGUUGUUCGGAUUUACUGGGCGUAAAGGGCGCGCAGGCGGUCUUGAAAGUCAGGCGUGAAAGCCCCGGGCUUAACCUGGGAAUUGCGCUUGAUACUCUGAGACUGGAGUACGGGAGAGGAGAGUGGAAUUCCCAGUGUAGAGGUGAAAUUCGUAGAUAUUGGGAAGAACACCAGUGGCGAAGGCGGCUCUCUGGACCGUAACCGACGCUGAGACACGAAAGCCAGGGGAGCGAACGGG
rnacentral:rRNA from 1 species